rnacentral:rRNA from 1 species
AAGCUCGUAGUUGAAUUUCGAGAUCAGUACGCUGGUCGUGCCUUCGGUAUGCACUGGUGUCACUGGUUUCUCCCUUCUGAAGAACCGUCAUGUCAUUAAGUUAGUGUGGCGGGGAAUCAGGACUGUUACUUUGAAAAAAUUAGAGUGUUUAAAGCAGGCUCGCGCUUGAAUACAUUAGCAUGGAAUAAUGAAAUAGGACGUUUGACCCUAUUUUGUUGGUUUCUAGGAUCGACGUAAUGAUUAAUAGGGAUAGUUGGGGGCAUUAGUAUUCAAUUGUCAGAGGUGAAAUUCUUGGAUUUAUUGAAGACUAACUACUGCGAAAGCAUUUGCCAAGGAUGUUUUCAUUAAUCAAGAACGAAAGUUAGGGGAUCGAAGACGAUCAGAUACCGUCGUAGUCUUAACCAUAAACUAUGCCGACUAGGGAUCGGAUGAUGUUAAUUUUUUAAUGACUCAUUCGGCGCCUUACGGGAAACCAAAGUGUUUGGGUUCCGGGGGGAGUAUGGUCGCAAGGCUGAAACUUAAAGGAAUUGACGGAAGGGCACCACCAGGGGUGGAGCCUGCGGCUUAAUUUGACUCAACACGGGAAAACUCACCAGGUCCAGACAUAGUUAGGAUUGACAGAUUGAGAGCUCUUUCUUGAUUCUAUGGGUG